UACGUAGGGACCAAGCGUUGUUCGGAUUUACUGGGCGUAAAGGGCGCGUAGGCGGCUUGACAAGUCACUUGUGAAAUCUCCGGGCUUAACUCGGAACGGCCAAGUGAAACUGUCAUGCUAGAGUGCAGAAGGGGCAAUCGGAAUUCUUGGUGUAGCGGUGAAAUGCGUAGAUAUCAAGAGGAACACCGGUGGCGAAGGCGGUUCUCUGGGCAUUACCUGACGCUGAGGAGCGAAAGUGUGGGGAGCGAACAGG
rnacentral:rRNA from 1 species